rfam:Aedes albopictus isolate Foshan contig2196, whole genome shotgun sequence.
UGUUUUGUGGCUUAGUAAGUUAAAGCGCCGGACUAGCACCGGUACGGAGUCAUGGGUUCGAAUCCCACCGAAAAAA